UCGAGUGGCGAACGGGUGAGUAACACGUGGGCAAUCUGCCCUGCACUUCGGGAUAAGCCUGGGAAACUGGGUCUAAUACCGGAUAGGACCUUUAGGCGCAUGUCUUUAGGUGGAAAGCUUUUGCGGUGUGGGAUGGGCCCGCGGCCUAUCAGCUUGUUGGUGGGGUGAUGGCCUACCAAGGCGACGACGGGUAGCCGGCCUGAGAGGGUGUCCGGCCACACUGGGACUGAGAUACGGCCCAGACUCCUACGGGAGGCAGCAGUGGGGAAUAUUGCACAAUGGGCGCAAGCCUGAUGCAGCGACGCCGCGUGGGGGAUGACGGCCUUCGGGUUGUAAACCUCUUUCACCAUCGACGAAGGUCCGGGUUUUCUCGGAUUGACGGUAGGUGGAGAAGAAGCACCGGCCAACUACG
rnacentral:rRNA from 1 species